UUAAAUACUUUUUUUUCUUAGUUUUUAACCUCGUGUUAAACUUUCUCGUUAUUUUCACCGUGUUAUUUAUUGCGCCGCUUUUUCUUUCAUUCGAACUGAAACUUGUUCAAUAUUUUAACACCAUUGUGCAACGUAUUCGCGCGCGUACACACAUAUACAUAUAUAUAUUUAUCUGUUCGUUUGUAUAUAUAUAUAUUUAUAUAUAUAUAUUUAUAUAUAAUAUAAAAAACAGUAUCUUCUAUCGCUUGUGAGAAGAAAGCAAAACAGGAUGCCUUAGGCAAUCCAAAAAGCUGUUCGUCCGUAUGUCUAUACAGCCGAACAUGCAGAAUGAGAAAACAGUCUGGGUCUUUCAAAAUUGAUCAUAAUGAUCUUUUUUUGAAUUUGUUCCAAUGGAUUAUUGUUCUGUCGUCUAUUUAUCGUUUUAUCUCUCGUCGUAUCAUCAUGUGAUUGCUGAUGAAGUAUGAAAAAUGACACAACUCCCGUUUCUGAUUAUCGUUCCGGCGCGAAGUAAGAUGGAUUCUUCGAAUAGAGGACCAUGAGGAUCAGAAGGGCGAGGACGAACAGGCGGCUACCAUGGCUCGAAUAAAGCGUCAAGACGCCUGCCAACCACCAUAGCGUCGGACAGCCACCAGAUACCGUUUCCCAUAUCCAUACGCUGUAAUCAUGAAAACUCCUUGGAAGUUUUGUUCAGAUAGAAAAGUCGAUACGGCUGUUUUAAGAGAUUCGUUUUCGCUGCGUUUAGACUUCUAAUUGGAUUUGAACCAAGAAGUUGACGAAGGAUUGACCCGAAACUGUGUUGAAUUAUCGGAAAAAAUGC